CCCAUCAUCAUUAUCAUCACAUCAUCACCAUCAUCAUCACAUCAUCACCAUCACCAUCAUCAUCAAACCUCCUCCAUCAUCCCUUGGAGUAAGUGCCUCUCAGGACAGGCUUUCCCAGGGCGUAGUUCCAACAAUGACCACGAGGUGGAGGAGUGACUCUAACCCCGUCCAGGGGCUGGGCGUUGGUUGACUAUCUCAAGCCCCCAGCCCUAGAUCCUGUCAAGGUUGAGAGUCGUCUCAGGCCAUCUGCAGCCAUAGGAAUCCCACGUAGUUGGGUUGCCAACUUGACUGUGUGCGGGGGCUUUGGCUCUUUGCCACCAGUGAGGUGCAAGGAAGGGGAGGGAGAGCCACAAGGAACAUCUGGAGAAGCCGAGCCAGGGAAGGGCACACAGCCCCCUGCACAGGAUCCAGGGGUCCUGGGGCUGCGGUGGGCGUGGCCACCAAGAGAGCGGCUCCAGGCCAGGCUUGUUCUGUCGGUGACUGAAGGGUCUUUAAGGCAUUCUUCUGUCUUCAGCUACGGGAAGCAGGUGAGGAAGCAGAAUUGGAGAGGGAGUGAGGGGGUUGAAUAGCCAGGCUGGAGUGAGGAACAGCCUAUCUUCGUGUGUUUUACGCCUUGCUGGCACUCCUAUAAAUUUGUCUUAAUGUUGGGAGAGGGCAGCUGUGAGCCUGCUGCCUACCCCCUCUGGGGAGAAGGGGACCCUCUCGGGCUGCCGCCCCUGUUAUCCCCUGGAAGCUGGCCACAGGACCAGCGUCCAGGAGAUAACAGCCCAGACCCCCUGUUUGGGGUCUUUUCUGAAAAGGGCCAAGCCUGGCUUGCUCUGCUUCGCAGCCUCAUCUUGAAGACUGAUUAUCUUCCCUGGCUCCUUCCAGCAAGGCGGAAUGGUGGGGUUUCUAAUUUCGCUGGCGUUUUGCUCCUUGAUAUCAUGUGAACAGAUGCUGUAAGGUUUUCUCUGAAGACUCUUAGGGAGGGAGGGAGGGAGAGCCUCCUGGUGAGGUUCUUUGACUCUGUCCGGGAGGAGGAAAUCCAUUUCUCAUUGCUCUGUGAUUUCACACUAAUCUGCGAAUGCAUGCACUGAUGACUUAGGGUGUGGUUCUACCCCUGCCCCGACUUUCCUCUUCUGCAAAUGGGGUGAAUAAUGCUUACCUUGUGGAGUCAUCUGCAUGACUCAGUCAGUAGCUUAGCACUUGUAACACAGCACCUGGGACCAAAUCAGGGCUCUAUAAAUCAUAACUACUUUCAUGUGUAGGAAGUGCAGGUCCUUCUUCACACAUCUAUAAUAUUGUGUAUUCCACAGAACAAUCCCAUUUGGUGCCUUUCUUUUUUCUUAUUUUAUUAAUUUUUUUCACGUAAAAUAUCUGAAAACAAUCUUCAUCACAACAGAGCCAAGCACUGUAUCAAUACUGGAAGUAAAAUAGGAAUGUCUCACCCCCUCAUAAACACACAGACACACACACACACACACACACACACACCCUAGAGUUAACUACUGGUAUAAGUUUGGUAUCUGGAAUUACAGGCACUCGCCACCAUGCCCAGCUAAGUUUUGUAUUUUUAGUAGAGACAGGGUUUCACCAUGCUGGCCAGGCUGGUCUUGAACUCCUGACCUCAGGUGAUCCACCCACCUUGGCCUCCCAAGGUGCUGGGAUGAAGAAAAGACCUCAGGAAAGCCAGAAUCUUCUUAGAGAUUACUUAAGCGGCUGUGAUCAGCAUGUUGGUAGAAAUAUGGGCAGUAAAGGCCAUUCUGAUGAGGUUUCAGAUGGAAAAGAGGAAUAUCUUAUUGGAAAUUGGUGUAAAGGCCCUCCUUGUUAUGAGGUGGCAAAUAACCUGGCCGAAUUGUAUCCAUGCCCAAGGGCUUUAUCAAAGGCAGAAUUUCAGAGUGAUGAACCAGGAUAACUGGAGGAAGAAAUUUCCAAGUAAAAUAUUGAAGGACCUGCAUGGCUACUUCUAAACGCACAUGGUAAGAUGCAAGAGAAGCAAAAUGAUUUAAAGACAGAAUUUUAAGGAAAAGGGAAUCAGAGCAGAAAGGGUUGGAAAAUCCAAAGUCU
rnacentral:lncRNA from 1 species